rnacentral:tRNA from 1 species
UGUCCAGGGAUGGGAAUCGAACCCACAGUGUUCCGCUUACCGGGCAGAUGCCAUGUCUACUAGGCUAGCCUUGAC